rnacentral:rRNA from 1 species
AACGCUGGCGGCGUGCCUAAUACAUGCAAGUCGAGCGAACAGAUAAGGAGCUUGCUCCUUUGACGUUAGCGGCGGACGGGUGAGUAACACGUGGAUAACCUACCUAUAAGACUGGGAUAACUUCGGGAAACCGGAGCUAAUACCGGAUAAGAUUUUGAACCGCAUGGUUCAAUAGUGAAAGACGGCCUUGCUGUCACUUAUAGAUGGAUCCGCGCCGUAUUAGCUAGUUGGUAAGGUAACGGCUUACCAAGGCAACGAUACGUAGCCGACCUGAGAGGGUGAUCGGCCACACUGGAACUGAGACACGGUCCAGACUCCUACGGGAGGCAGCAGUAGGGAAUCUUCCGCAAUGGGCGAAAGCCUGACGGAGCAACGCCGCGUGAGUGAUGAAGGUCUUCGGAUCGUAAAACUCUGUUAUCAGGGAAGAACAAACGUGUAAGUAACUGUGCACGUCUUGACGGUACCUGAUCAGAAAGCCACGGCUAACUAC